CCUACGGGUGGCAGCAGUGAGGAAUAUUGGUCAAUGGGAGAGAUCCUGAACCAGCCAAGCCGCGUGAGGGAAGACGGCCCUAUGGGUUGUAAACCUCUUUUGUCGGAGAACAAAACCCGGGACGAGUCCCGGACUGCGUGUAUCCGAAGAAAAAGCAUCGGCUAACUCCGUGCCAGCAGCCGCGGUAAUACGGAGGAUGCGAGCGUUAUCCGGAUUUAUUGGGUUUAAAGGGUGCGCAGGCGGGCUGUUAAGCCGGCGGUAAAAAUUCAGGGCUCAACCCUGUCGAGCCGUCGGAACUGGCAGUCUUGAGUGGGCGAGAAGUAUGCGGAAUGCGUGGUGUAGCGGUGAAAUGCAUAGAUAUCACGCAGAACGCCGAUUGCGAAGGCAGCAUACCGGCGCCCAACUGACGCUGAGGCACGAAAGCGUGGGGAUCGAACAGGAUUAGAUACCCCAGUAGUC
rnacentral:rRNA from 1 species